CAGAAACUACCACAGCCACCAGGAUUAUAACCACUGUCAACAACACCAACACCAUCGCAUACAGAGCCAUCAUCAGGGCCGCCGCCACCAUCGCCAGAGCCAUUGCACGCCGGCAGGGCCACCACCACCGCCACUUAAAAGACCCAACAAACCCUACUGAACACACACAGAGAGUCACCGUCAAGACAACCAACACCGCACCUACAACACACCCACUCAAAAACCCAACGAAACCCGCUGCACAACGGCGAGGAUUCACGGCACACCCAUUCCAACGCUCUUCAAUAGUUCUACCUUCACAGCACACCAUUCCAACGCUUUUCACGACACACCACUCAAGCAAAUCGUCACUGCAUAUGGCAGCACUCCUCUGUAUUAGGCACUGCUAUUUCGUGUAUCGUUGAGCUGUAAUGACAGUCCUUCCCAGGGUGAUUCUCUCGGUUGCAUCGACGAGGCGAUAGAUCUUGCACAGUGAUUCUCUCGACUGUAACAGAGAGGCGAUGUCGGUGUUGUGCUGGGCUAUGCGACCUAUCACACAUAGUGAUUCUCUUCGUUGCAGGGGUGAGGCGAUGACACUGUUGGUGUCUCCGGUGGCUCGCGCUUCUCAGGCUACACCUCCGAUGCCAAUGGUGCCAUGUCACUGGAAAUAGCGUGUUACCGAAGAAGAGGCACGACAUAGAGAGGGCAAAUGUUGAGAAAGAAAGGGGAAACAGAUCUAGGGUUUGGAGUGUAUGAGGUGUGGUGGUUUAAUUAUAAUACCUGACUUUUUAUUAAUUAAACUUUGCACCUAAAUUUUUUAAAGUGAUCUUUAAACAUCUGUUAUUGUGUAAUUUCCCCCCUAUAACAAUUGUACGUGUUUGACAAUCCGAAACUAGG
rnacentral:lncRNA from 1 species